UGCACCCGUAGCUCAGUUGGAUAGAGUAUCUGGCUACGAACCAGAGGGUCGGGCGUUCGAAUCGCUCCGGGUGCGCCAC
rnacentral:tRNA from 1 species